rnacentral:rRNA from 1 species
CCUACGGGAGGCAGCAGUGAGGAAUAUUGGUCAAUGGACGAGAGUCUGAACCAGCCAAGUAGCGUGAAGGAUGACUGCCCUAUGGGUUGUAAACUUCUUUUAUAUGGGAAUAAAACGUUCCACGUGUGGGAUUUUGUAUGUACCAUAUGAAUAAGGAUCGGCUAACUCCGUGCCAGCAGCAGCGGUAAUACGGAGGAUCCGAGCGUUAUCCGGAUUUAUUGGGUUUAAAGGGAGCGUAGGUGGAUUGUUAAGUCAGUUGUGAAAGUUUGCGGCUCAACCGUAAAAUUGCAGUUGAAACUGGCAGUCUUGAGUACAGUAGAGGUGGGCGGAAUUCGUGGUGUAGCGGUGAAAUGCUUAGAUAUCACGAAGAACUCCGAUUGCGAAGGCAGUUCACUGGACUGCAACUGACACUGAGGCUCGAAAGUGUGGGUAUCAAACAGGAUUAGAUACCCUUGUAGUC